CUUUCUUCUCACAGCUCAGGCACCCUGGGGCAAGCCAGCUGCUAUGUCACCGGGACACUCGAGCAGAUGCUGAAAUGGCAAGUCUGAAGAGCAAGAAGUCAUUACAGAUUUCUUAUGAAAUGCAAACAGUGAGGAACCAUUAAUUUUAAAGGUCUACCCAUUUCCCAAGGAGCCAAGAAGCCAUGCCUAGUCUUGAGGGUUUAAUCUACGUACACACAGGGGAAAGAUCUCUCCUAACCUACACCACUCACUGUCCUCCCAAGAGGCUUCACGCGCCUUUCUUUUGAAAACUCGCAUUUUCCAUAGUUGCAAAAAUAACAAAUGCUCAGUGUACAAAACUAGGAAUACAUGAAAAAGCACAAAGAAAAUGAAAAAAUAAACACCGUAAUCCCACCUCCCACGUGUUGAAAUAUUUUCCUCUGAUAUUUUAGAUGUAGCUCACACACACCUCACUUGAAAACAAAUUGAUUAUAGCGGCCACUCCCGCGUGUUCACGGGAGGGGUAGGUGAUGCAUAAAACAUCUGUGGAGAAAAAAAAUAUAUAAAAUAGCUAACAUUUAACAGUAUUAACUUGGUGCCAAGCAUCCUGGGCACUCCUUACAUAUUAACUCGAGGAAACUUUUGCCUACCACCAAAUCCAAAGAUAUUCUUCUGCAUUUAACUCAUUUAAUACUCAGCACCCUUUUGUUACUGUCAUAUUUAUUUGGUAGAUAGGGAAACGGAGGCACAUGAAAAACCGUGCCCCAAAUCACACUGCCUGUUGUGGUGAGCGGGGAUUUGUUCCAGUCUCUGCGGGAAGCAAGAACUCAGGUGCCCACCUGCGCCCACACGGCUCACUGCUUCCCUUUUAGAGACUAGCGGAGGGGAGGGACUCACGGUUCACUUUCCUCUGGUUGGUCGGUUCUGGCCCAGAGUGACCGCUGCUAGAGUCACCAAGGAGUCCUGGGCUGUAAUCUUGCGGUGGAGAGCACGAGAUAAACACGGGGUGGGGGAAACUGAUGCGAGGGGAGCCUAGAAAGAGGGCCUGCUCGGGCCUGGCGUCCAGCCUCAGGCUGGGCCCGUGGCCACACCCACGCAGGCCGCCCACGGCCACGCCUACCACCCCGUGCAGCCAGGCCCGCGCCCACUGCGGGCAGAGCCUGAGAGGCAGGGGCGCCUGACGUGCUGCUGACAUCAGGGAAGGUAGCCACCUAGUGCUCUGAACCUUCAGAAAAAGUCCACCACCCACACAUUUGCCUUGUGCACGUGGUUUUGGAGAAAUCCCAAAUGUCUCCAAUUCCAGAGAAGAGGCCGAGUCCCACGUCUGAGCUGGGGCAGUGAAAGGGGAAAAGAAACCUGAGUGGGCGGAGAGUCUGGAGAAAGUUGUGAGCCGCUGGGAAUCCGGAUAAAUCUUGACUAUGGCCGCUCUCAUGUUGCAAAGGCAGGGCUGAAAAGAUGCAACAGAGACCGCGUGAGGCACCCUCACCGAUCUGCACUGUGGCUCAGUGGCUGUUGUGUGAUGGAGGUGGACUGGCCUGUGUUCCUGGUUCCUGGAAGUUACCCUGUAAAUUCUUGGAAUUUCCCAAGUGAUAGGAGCAUCUUUGUCAUUCAUGGUGUAGCCUGGUAGUUUAUGCUAGAGAGGUGACACGUGGUCCUCCCUGGAUAGUUUGUGCUAAUGAGAUGAUACAGAUUGGGGACAGGCCACACCAUGUGAUUAGAACCUUUUGAGGAACUCGAUAUCAGUUUGACCUCUGGAGAAGGAAGUGGGGCUGGAGCUUGAAUUAAUUUGCUUGGCCAUUGAUUCAAUCGUGUCUGUGUAAUGAAACGCCAUUAAAAACUCUAGACACGAACCUUAGAUGGGCUUCCCUGGUUGCUGAAACACAUUGAAAUGCUGGGAGACUGACACGUCCUAAGAACAUGGACGACUUCACGUUUGGGAAUGGGAAAACUUCCCCCUGUGCGCCUUUGCAUUCUGCUGGUCCUGAUUUGUAUCCUUUAUAAUAAAAGUCAUCGUAAGUAUAGCA